GGAGAGGUGGCCGAGUGGCUUAAGGCGCACGCUUGGAAAGCGUGUGUGCGGCAACGUACCGUGAGUUCGAAUCUCACUCUCUCCG
rnacentral:tRNA from 2 species